UACGAAGGGGGCUAGCGUUGCUCGGAAUCACUGGGCGUAAAGGGUGCGUAGGCGGUUUGUUAAGUCGGCUGUGAAAGCCCGGGGCUCAACCCCGGAGGGUCAGCCGAUACUGGCAGACUAGAGUACGGAAGAGGUAGCUGGAAUUCCCGGUGUAGCGGUGAAAUGCGUAGAUAUCAGGAAGAACGCCAAUGGCGAAAGCAGCUUUCUGGGACGGUACUGACGCUGAGGCGCGAAAGCGUGGGGAGCGAACAGG
rnacentral:rRNA from 1 species